rnacentral:sRNA from 2 species
GAGCAGGAGCACUCAGCAGCCGUCAAGGUGCUCUUCAAUUCGUUCAAAAUGGUGGAAAUUGUGAGGGAUGAACAGUUGGAGAAACUGAAGGUUUGGGCCCAUGUCCUAUUGAAGUUGGCAGUUGUCAUUGGGCGGACCGACGUCAACUCGAUGCAGUUAGGGCCGCAGCAGCAAGUGUCUUUCCUGCCGCUGCUGUGAUGUUAGUGCAUCACUCCCCCGCCUUCAUCGCUACUUUCGCUGAGGUAGGUAGUCAAGACCUGCCCUGCCCGGCCGUCCUUUGAGCUUCCACACCGGCAUGCAGCGAGUGAGGAGACAGACGGGACGCCUGCCGCCCGGUUCCGUGCAUGACGCUGCCGUGUCACAACUUCCCCACUUUCGUCCUCCCGUGAACUUCCCGUCGUCGACAUCUCACCAAUCGAGCGAACCUCCUCCCGGGGAUGUCCUGACCGAAAGCGACCUAGAGCUGGAAAUCACUUGGGAGUUCCAUUUUGGUAUGUAUUAGUCAUGUCUUUGAAGCUUACCUAACUACUAGACAACGCCGCGAGUCCCGGAGUUCUAAACAGCGAUGACCACCGCAACCGCAACGGCAACGAAGAUGGCGUCAAUGACAAUCUACUAUGCCUUCAGAAAGCCUCAUCAAAUGCUGUCUCGACAAUCCGCACAAACUAGGCCGACCUUCCAAUGAGACCGGCGGUCACGUCGAGGGCACGCAGCCUGACGCAAUUGGUUCCUCCUUCCUUUGUCCUGCUUAUCUCGGUGCUAUACCGCGGAGGUCUCGAACCUAGCGAUCAAAACAACAACAAACCUCAUGGUUGGAUCGGCCAUCUACAUCACUGAGCAAGCCGGAUCGCCAGUUCCUGUUCUGGAAUUUCUCCUCCAUUCUUGUGGCUCGUCUCAACACGAAAGAAUGCGGAUAUCUUCGGGGGUUGCAACGUGCCAUCAUUGAAGCCUUGCACAUUCCCAGGGACAUUACACUACCCAGCGCAUUGAACGCUCCUGCGUUACCACAGUUCACGUACCUAAUGGGCUUCCAGGACGCAAGGUACCCCUUCACAGCAUUUCAUGCAGAUGUCUUUCAACGCGAAUCAUAGGUGUGAUAGAGAUUCAACCCUCGCCAGAGAAGCAAAACCGACACACUCUUACCUUUCCGCGACCAAAACAUUCCUCCAAAAGAGUGCUCCAACGACGACCACCUCUAAUGAACUGCGUUACACCACAAAAAGACUCCGCGAUGAGCCAGAAAUCAUCAGGGUUAUGAUCUUCAAGCCUCGAAGUGUCGAUACUAGGCUUUGGCUCACACCAACUUUGGCACAAAGUGGUCUCAAUACAACUUUGUGCCAAUCUCAAAUCACAAACACUGUGGAGGAGUGAUCUAAAUCUUCCUUCGGGAGUUAGUGACAACUGAGGGCACACAUCGAUGCCCUUUCUUCGGCCAUCAGGGUCUUCGGGAUCGGCAGUGUCCCGGGCCGUCCCAUUGUCACAUUCCGAUUGGCAAUAAUUCUCGAGGCUGCCAUUCAAGCCUUCCGAGAACCCAGCUAUGGAGCUUUACGGCACUGGCACAUGAUCGACGUAACAUCUGGAGGAUGGCCCUUUACAGAAGUAGAUGCCAGCGGCGUCUCGCAUUUCGAGCUCGGCAAUUUAUCCUGAAAAAAAAACAACGGAAAGAAACAGAAUGCCGAUUUGGCGUGGGUUGUCCAAACGGUCAUUUCUUGACACAUUUCUUAUCCAGCCUGCAGGAGGAAUGUUAUCCAGAAGCUCCGGCGGUAACCUGAGGAUGAAAAGUCCAUAGCAGGAUGGCUGACCAUGGAAGAUUAUAAGUGCGAUACAUCCAUGUGAAGAAUGUCGGCUAGUCACUGCCAUCCAUGGUCCACGGUUUGGCGUCUCAUUUCCCGCAACUUGCCUCACUCUCAGCUCGAUUUUGGCAGCCAUACGUUCCUUUGCCCUCGCCCUAGUGGCGUCCAUCGCUGGUGCCCUAGCCGCCACCAUGCACAUUAACGAUUCAACCUUUCAGGACCACAUGGCACUGACUGUGCUGGAGGGUUUGUCCGGGAUGGACGGUCAACAGAUACCAGCGGUGAGCGGUCAACAUAACGUUGUCGAUAUAGUCAUGUCCAAGCUUCCCACCAUCAAAAUGGACACCGCCCCCACCGAUGCUGUAUCCGGCACUAAGACAUCAACCUUAGGGUGGCCAUCCUGCAAGGACACUCUGGCUUGCAACUUCGACUUCCUUUAGAAUGUCUCUUUGUCUGACUGGCUCAUCUACCUUGUCACCAUCCAGGUCAAACUCCUCGGCGGCCAAAACAAAAGCCAGACCCAGUUCAAGGCUAUUGAAGGACCCAUGCAAUACUUUAUCGACAAAAGUCUUGCCAAUCCAAAUACGGCUUGGCUGGUGUGCUUGAGGGAAUCAAGCGUGGUACGGCCAUUGCCCUGGGGAAAGUCAAACGACACGUUUGGAAACCCUAGCUCUCCCAUGUGGGCAGCUUUCCUCAGGCAAGUAAGGACUGAUGACUUCAGAAACAGGGCUGCUCACAACGCUGCUUGGUCUCAGGCCUUUCAGCUAGGCCUUAACUAUGGUGUUCAGACAGGUGACCGGCUUACCAGGAACACGGUUUUUUUUUUCAUUGGUCACGUUGAGAUACUAGAGCGCGCGGCUGUCUUCAAUAUUAUCGUUGUUUGGAACAUUCUCGCUUAGAAUGAGGGCGCCUAUACGCCAUUACUUCAGCCUCGCUCCCGUCAUCUCCCAGCCUCUGCUUCCCUACGGCUUCACAGCCGACACGUUCAUCAACUGGAUCUUCAAUGUCUCCGAUCCCAAGCCCUUGUAUUGUCUGGUGGAUGCCGCCUUCAACGACCGUUCUAUUGAAGCCCUCGGAAUCGAGCCCACUACAUUCCUGUCUGACAUCAACAACUUGAUCACAAUCAUUCCAGCUUUUCUAAGGUGUUAUACGGUUGGAGCGAAUAUCUAAGUCUUGGGUACCGGCCUUUGUGUCUAACUGGAUGGGCCAGAAUGAUUGGCAAUGAGAAGCAACGGAUGCUAGGCUUGGCUUAAAUACAAUGCAGGGAGCACUGAAUGUGAGGUUUGCCUUUUGGUAUGACUCACGGAGGAGAGAAUUUAGCUCAUUGAGAGUUGUGGUAUUAUAUCGCCAUGUGCUAGUUCUGUCGCCCACCUUUAAAUGCAAACACCAUGACACCCCU